rnacentral:rRNA from 1 species
ACGAACGCUGGCGGCGUGCCUAACACAUGCAAGUCGAGCGGAGACAGUGAGUAGCUUGCUAUGAGCUGUUUUAGCGGCGGACGGGUGAGUAACGCGUGAGCAACCUUUCCCAGACAGGGGAAUAACACACCGAAAGGUGUACUAAUACCGCAUAAGACCACGGAAUCACAUGGUUCUGAGGUAAAAGAUUUAUCGGUUUGGGGUGGGCUCGCGUCCGAUUAGGUAGUUGGUGAGGUAACGGCCCACCAAGCCGACGAUCGGUAGCCGACCUGAGAGGGUGAUCGGCCACAUUGGGACUGAGACACGGCCCAAACUCCUACGGGAGGCAGCAGUGGGGAAUAUUGGGCAAUGGGGGGAACCCUGACCCAGCAACGCCGCGUGGAGGAAGAAGGUUUUCGGAUCGUAAACUCCUGUCCUUGGAGACGAGUAGAAGACGGUAUCCAAGGAGGAAGCCCCGGCUAACUACGUGCCAGCAGCCGCGGUAAUACGUAGGGGGCAAGCGUUGUCCGGAAUAAUUGGGCGUAAAGGGCGCGUAGGCGGCUCGGUAAGUCUGGAGUGAAAGUCCUGCUUUUAAGGUGGGAAUUGCUUUGGAUACUGUCGGGCUUGAGUGCAGGAGAGGUUAGUGGAAUUCCCAGUGUAGCGGUGAAAUGCGUAGAGAUUGGGAGGAACACCAGUGGCGAAGGCGACUAACUGGACUGUAACUGACGCUGAGGCGCGAAAGUGUGGGGAGCAAACAGGAUUAGAUACCCUGGUAGUCCACGCAGUAAACGAUGAUAACUCGUUGUCGGCGAUACACAGUCGGUGACUAAGCGAAAGCGAUAAGUUAUCCACCUGGGGAGUACGUUCGCAAGAAUGAAACUCAAAGGAAUUGACGGGGGCCCGCACAAGCGGAGGAACAUGUGGUUUAAUUCGAUGAUACGCGAGGAACCUUACCCGGGCUUGAAUUGCAACUGAAUGAUGUGGAGACAUGUCAGCCGCAAGGCAGUUGUGAAGGUGCUGCAUGGUUGUCGUCAGCUCGUGUCGUGAGAUGUUGGGUUAAGUCCCGCAACGAGCGCAACCCUUAUCUUCAGUUACUAACACGUAGAGGUGAGGACUCUGAAGAGACUGCCGGGGACAACUCGGAGGAAGGUGGGGACGACGUCAAAUCAUCAUGCCCCUUAUGAUCUGGGCUACACACGUGCUACAAUGGCCACGACAGAGAGAAGCGAAAUCGCAAGGUAGAGCGGAACUCAAAAAAGUGGUCCCAGUUCGGAUUGUGGGCUGCAACCCGCCCACAUGAAGUCGGAGUUGCUAGUAAUCGCGGAUCAGCAUGCCGCGGUGAAUACGUUCCCGGGCCUUGUACACACCGCCCGUCACACCAUGGGAGUUGGGAGUGCCCAAAGCCGGUGAGGCAACCGCAAGGAGCCAGCCGUCUAAGGCAAGACCAAUGACUGGGGUG